rnacentral:rRNA from 1 species
CCUACGGGAGGCAGCAGUAGGGAAUCUUCGUCAAUGGGCGCAAGCCUGAACGAGCAAUGCCACGUGAAGGAGGAAGGUCUUCGGAUCGUAAAGUUCUGUUGAAGGGGAAAAAGAGCGGAGAGAGGAAAUGGUCUCCGAUUGAUAUUACCCUUCGAGGAAGUCACGGCUAACUACGUGCCAGCAGCCGCGGUAAUACGUAGGUGGCGAGCGUUAUCCGGAUUGAUUGGGCGUAAGGGGUGCGUAGGCGGCCUGCUAGCUCUGGGGUGAAAGGUACCGGCUCAACCGGUACAGGCUCUGGAAACUGGCGGGCUAGAGAGCAGGAGAGGGCGGUGGAACUCCAUGUGUAGCGGUGAAAUGCGUAGAUAUAUGGAAGAACACCAGUGGCGAAGGCGGCCGCCUGGCCUGUUACUGACGCUGAGGCACGAAAGCGUGGGGAGCAAAUAGGAUUAGAUACCCCUGUAGUC